GGCCACAGCCAUGUCACCCUGCAGCCCAAGAUCGGGUACUCACUGAAGCUAAACAGGGCUGAGCCUGGUCAGUACCUGGAUGGGAGACCACUAGGGAACACUAGGUUGCUGUUGGAA
rfam:Danio rerio chromosome 19, GRCz11 reference primary assembly.